UACGGAGGGGGCUAGCGUUGUUCGGAAUUACUGGGCGUAAAGCGCACGAAGGCGGACUGUUAAGUCAGGGGUGAAAUCCCGGGGCUCAACCUCGGAACAGCCUCUGAUACUGGCAGUCUCGAGUCCGAGAGAGGUGAGUGGAAUUCCGAGUGUAGAGGUGAAAUUCGUAGAUAUUCGGAGGAACACCAGUGGCGAAGGCGGCUCACUGGCCCGAAACUGACGCUGAGGUGCGAAAGCGUGGGGAGCAAACAGG
rnacentral:misc_RNA from 1 species